rnacentral:rRNA from 1 species
UGGGGAAUAUUGCACAAUGGGGGAAACCCUGAUGCAGCGACGCCGCGUGAACGAAGAAGGUAUUCGUAUCGUAAAGUUCUGUCCUCUGGGAAGAUAAUGACAGUACCAUAGAAGAAAGCUCCGGCUAAAUACGUGCCAGCAGCCGCGGUAAUACGUAUGGAGCGAGCGUUGUCCGGAAUUAUUGGGCGUAAAGGGUACGCAGGCGGUUUAAUAAGUCGAAUGUUAAAGAUCGGGGCUCAACCCCGUAAAGCAUUGGAAACUGAUAAACUUGAGUAGUGGAGAGGAAAGUGGAAUUCCUAGUGUAGUGGUGAAAUACGUAGAUAUUAGGAGGAAUACCAGUAGCGAAGGAGACUUUCUGGACACAAACUAACGCUGAGGUACGAAAGCGUGGGGAGCAAACAGG